rnacentral:pre_miRNA from 1 species
CAUAUACUCCCUCCGUUCAGAAUUACUUGUCACAAAAAUGGAUGUAUCUACAACUAAAAUACAUCUAGAUACAUUCAUUUCUUGGACGAGUAAUUCCGAAUGGAGGGAAUAUUUC